GGGGUCUGCGGGGGGAUAAAGAGGUCCAGAUAAGAAAGUGAGAUACUCUACCUGCUGUGAAAGAGAAAGAAAACAAAGAGGAGAGGAAGAGAGGGAUCGGUUUGAUUAACACACUGAGAACAACCAUUAUUGCUCCCCGAGGUCUCUCCUCUAUCCAUCUCAGUUCGAUACCUGGACAUUCAUCUUGGCUCACUUUCAGCCUCUUAAAUGCGGUCGGAACGGCGUUUCCUCUCCAUGUCGAAAGCCACAAAAGAGCACGCUAACUCGAGUCGGUGAAAACGACCCUGGGUGUAACCCAGAUUCUCUACGUUACAGUGAAGUUCACGACACGCUUAACGAGACGUCUAAUGAGGAUGAUUUUUACUCUCUGAUUGUAAAUUAUAUUUACAGGAACUUAAAGUAAUUUAUCACAUUAUGGCUCCUCAGCUUCAGUUGUAAGCAGACUUUAGCGUUGAGGAUUUUCAUAAUUCGGCCUUUUUUUCCAAAUGAUUUGCUGUAUGUGGAAAAUGCCGAUCUUAUCCACGUAAACAGUGAUAUCCAGGUAAUCUCACAUUGAGGCAAAAAUGAUAUAAAAGUGUGCCGUGCAUCGCAGUCGCCAAAGAUAAUGAUGCGUCCACGGUCUGAGCUGCACAUACUGACAGCGUGUGCAAAAUAAAGCUCCUUUUAUUUUUAAAAACAUGGACAUUAACCAUCGUUUGCACGCUUCAUUUAGAAGAAAACAGAGAAUUCACUCCUGAAAAUGAUGCUUUUAACAAACUCCGACCAGAGUGGAGAUUUUAGAAAACUCCAAAUCUCAAAAUUAGUGGCAUCAGUGGAGUGGCGCCAUCGUUUCUGACCACUUCAAGCUUUGACUUCUAACCACGCUGUCCUCCAUGAUGCUGUCGCUGCAUCGACAAGGUGUGAAAAGAGCAGUAGAGCCAGAUUUACGGCAGAGAGCGAUGAAGGUGAAUUCCUGAAAUUGAGUUACUCUUGGCAGAGAAACACCCGAGCGCCAAACUUUGUACGUUUGCAUGUAAACAGAGAAAAACAGAGAUUUAGGUUGCCGACGGCCGGUUGUGUGCCGGAAACUGGGUUAAAUGCAACAUUGUUUACCAUCUGCAGUCUAUGUUUACAAUCUAUGGUGAUCAUGGAUGCAUGCAGAAUAGCAGCCGCAUUUAUGUUGGUGCAAUUCCUUUGUAUUUCUUUGCAUUUUCAUCUUUUCUAAAAAAAGGAAGUGAAGUUGUUGUUGCUGCUGCUGCUAUGUGGGAUUCUGAUUGGCUAACGUGAGCUUUGGCACGCUCUUGACGGCAUAAACACACGGGUUAGUGUAAACGAAAACUUUUCUGAAAACAUAAUAGUGUGCACGCAGGUUUUUUUUUGCGAACAGAGAGGGUGAAAUGUCCGUUUAUGAAAAUAGCCGAGCACGUGUAAACAUCGUCUAAGAUUCACUGAAACUGCGUCUUUUAAUAACUGACUGCAGAACAUGUUGAGGUUCAUGUUGAGCUGAUUCUGAGCUUAAAUCAAAAGCAUGAAAUUCUGUUUUUUUUUCUAAAAUGUCUUUCAGAAAAAAAAGUCAUUUUUUGCAUUUUUUCUAGGUUGAAAUGAACAAAACUAAAACCGAGUGGAGGCGUGUUUUGAAGCCGGUUGUUGGAAAUAUAAUUGAUCUUUUUAUUCGUGCUUCUCUAACUCUUCAUGAUCCCACCUGCAGUGAAGUGAUUGUCUUUUAUUUUGUGAAGAGAGGAAGAGAGUGUGGGGGAUCAUUUUUACAUGAGCUAUAGAGAAGUAAAAGAUCCGCUUAAACAGACCUCUACCCAUCCUGACCCCAUGAAACAUGUCUAAAUAACACGAGCCAAGCUCUCCUCACUGUUACAAACAAAACUCGUCUCACUUAGUCGUGUUCCUCGGUGAUAAAGUAAUGCUGCUUCCUUCUUGGAUCCUAGGGCUGCAUGAUUUUCACCAAACUUCACUUUAAUAAGAUUUUUUAUUAUCUUUCAAAAUAAACCACUGAAAACGAUGUAGUGCAUAUGCCAAGACAGUGAGUGGCGCUGUAACGCUGCACAGGAAAUGCACUAAAGACAGAAGAAGAAUACAGAGCACGAGUGUAAAAGUUGUUUUGGCCGGACACGAUCAGGCGCCAUAAGAGAAGAGAAGAGUUACGCUGUGUGUCACAUGAUCGUUUCGAGUCGUUUACCGACUUAUUCAGUCUCCGACCCGUUUUCAAAAAGUACAGUUUACAGUCACCUGAAACGCCGAUACAACAAAAAACUUUUGUGUUUGUAGGAGCCAUAAUGUUGCUCUGCUUAUCGGUUAUUCUGUGUUCAGUUACUCUUGUCUGGUAGAUAUUGGUUUCGCUUGGUUUGGGUCACGUGGUCACUGAGUUUGAAAUCCAGUAAGUUAACUAAGAGGCGGUCUUACCUGCGCUGUGGUGGAGAGGUGAGCCGAGGUAGCCGUAAUUUUUGUUGACCGCGCUUUAUGUUCUUUGUUUGCUUUGAUAGACAUCCCAGAGUGUACUAACAUUACAUCGGAUGUGUGCGUGUAAUCACUGGUGAUUGUGAAAGCAUUUUUUUUUGUUUGUUGUUAUUUAAGUUCCGAAAACUUUGAUGAACUGUGGGUGUUUCUUUGGAACAGCAGAAAUAUUCAGGACCUAGUCUCUGCCUCAAGACACUUUUUUAAAGGUACUAGAAAAGCCACAAUAGUGUUUCCUCCUGAAUUCUUUUCCGUUUGGACGGGUUGAUACCGCCCUUGACUUUGCACUGGGGAGUGGUUUGCUCUUUGUCCGAAACUGUGAAGUCAUACCAAUUCA